rnacentral:lncRNA from 1 species
GGGGGCAUAUGGGGACACGGGGACACAGGGGACAUGGGGGGACAGAGGGGACAGAGGGAGAGGGAGAAAUAUAAGGGGACACGGAAUAUGGGGACACGUGGGGACACAGGGGGACAUGGGGGGACACGGGGGGUAUAAAGGGACAUGGGGGGCAUGGGGGACAUGGGGACACAAAGGGACAGGGAGAAACAUCAGGGGACAUGGAAUAAGGGGAUAUGUGGGGACACGGGGACACAGGGACAUGGGGGGACAUGUGGGAACACAGGGGGUAUAAGGGGACAUGGGGGGACACGGGGGACAUGGGAUAUGGGGACACGGGGGGACACGGGGACAUGGGGGGGCAUGUGGGGGCACAGGGGGACAAGGAGAAAUGUAAGGGGACGUGGGAUAUGGGGACAUAUGGGGACACGGGGGGAUGGGGGGACACACGCGGACAUGGGGGGAUUAGCAGGGACAUGGGGGGAUGUACAGGGAUAUGGGGACACGUUUCAGAGUUUGGGUUUUGGGGGUACAGAUCUCGGGGUUUGGGUUUUGGGGGUAUAGGUUUCAGGGUCAGGUUUUAGGGUUUGGGUUUUGGGGUUUGAGGUUCUGGGGUAUAGGUUUCGGGGUUUGGGUUUUGGGGUCUGGUUUUGGGGUCAGUUUUGGGGUCAGGUUUCGGGGUGCAGCUCACGCGGUUGUGCAGGAAGAGGCGCAGGCGGGCCCCGGGGUAAUCCCAGUCCAGAAGGCGCUGCAGGAACUGGGGCAGGAAUGGGGUGGGCUGCUCCACGAACACCCCCACCAGCACCCACGGCAGCUCCUCGUCCUGAGGGGGGGCAGCAAUGGGGCACCCCACAUCCAGGGGGCACCCCAAAGCACCCUGCAGACCCUUGUGGGCACCCCAACCCCCCCCCCAAAGCACCCCAAAACCCUAUGGCGUAGCUCACAACCCCAAAACCCUAUGGGGCAGCCCACGGCCCCAAAAGGACCCCAAAACCCUAUAGGCCACCCCACAGCCCUUAAGGGAACCCCGAAACCCUUCAAAGCACCCCAAAACCCUACGGGGCAGCCCACAGCCCCAAAGGGACUCCAAAACCCUAUAGGCCACCCCGAAGCCCCCAAGGGUAACCCGAAACCUCCCAAAAUACCCCAAAAAACCUAUGGGAUAGCCCACAGCCUCAAGGGGACCCCAAAACCCUAUAGAGUAGCCCACGGUCCCAAAAGGACCUCCAAACCCCCUCAGUACCCACAGACACCCCACAGCCCCAUGGGGCACCCCACAACCCUUAAAGCACCCCAAAACCCCAUAGACCGCCCCACAACUCCCUAAGGCACCCCAAAACCUCCCAAAACUCCCCAAAAUGCCAUGGGGCACCACACAACCCCCCAAAGCACCCCAAAAUCCUACAGACCACCCCUCACCCUCCCAUUUUUUGGGGUCACCCCAAUUUUUUGGUGUCCCCCCCAUACCACGAGACCCUUGAGGAGCCACAGGUCCCGGUUGCAGACCCCACAGCCGCCCCCCAAGGACCCCACCCCAUUUUUUGGGGUAUCCACAAUUUUUUAGGGUUUCCCCAGUUUUUGAGGAUCUCCCCUUCUUUUUGGGGUCCCCUCCCUGUUUUUUGGGGUUCCCCCCGUACCGUGAGACCCUCGAGGGGCCGCAGGUCCCGGUCGCAGUCCCCGCAGCCGCCCUCGUAGGUCCAGCCGGCCGGGAUGUAAUUCCCCAAAUAAUUCAGCUGCAGCUUUAUGGGAUUUGGGGGGGCAAUAGGAUUAGGGGGGGGGGGAAUGGGGGUGGGGGGGGGGGGUGGGGUUUGGGGGGUGGGGCCGGGGGAAAAGAACAACCUUGUCGGGGACCCCAACACCCACCCUGACCCUAUAAGGACCCCACAAAACUGUAUGAAACCCUGGCAACCCCCUGACCCUAUAAAGACCUCACAAAAUUAUAGGGGAUCCCAGUGCCCACCCACUUCCCCCUACAAACCCCACAACCUUCUAGGGGAUCCCACAAUCUCCUAGGGGAUCCCCCUGCCUCUCCCAGCCCUAUAGGAACCCCACAAAAUCAUAGGGAACCCUGGCAACCCCCUGACCCUAUAAAGACCCUACGUAAUUUUAGGGAGUCCCAGUGUCCCCCACAGCCUGCAGGACCACAGUGCCCCCACUUUCCCCUACAAACUCCACAUUCUUAUUGGGGACCCCACUGCCCCCCCCACCCCUAUAAGGACCCCCUGGCCCUAUAAGGGACCCCGCUGUACCUUUGUAGGGCCGUUCCCAUGGAUGACCACGGGCAGGGUGUCGUACGCCACGUUGCGGGCCCGCACCCGCCCCGGCUC